rnacentral:rRNA from 1 species
UACAGAGGGUGCAAGCGUUGUUCGGAAUUAUUGGGCGUAAAGGGCGCGUAGGCGGUGCGGUAAGUCUGUAGUGAAAUCUCUGGGCUCAACCCAGAAACUGCUUUACAUACUGGCAGACUUGAGUGAUGAAGAGGUUUGUGGAAUUCCUGGUGUAGCGGUGAAAUGCGUUGAUAUCAGGAGGAACACCCAUGGCGAAGGCAGCAAACUGGUCAUCAACUGACGCUGAGGCGCGAAAGCGUGGGUAGCAAACAGG